GACAGAGGUGCCAAGCGUUAGGCGGAAUCACUGGGCUUAAAGCGUGUGUAGGCGGGUCGUUAAGUACCUUGUGAAAUCCCCCCGGCUCAACCGGGGAACGGCUGGGUAUACUGGCGAUCUCGAGCCACCUAGGGGCAGUCGGAACAAGUGGUGGAGCGGUGAAAUGCGUAGAUAUCGUGAGGAACACCAGAGGCGAAGGCGGUUACCUGGACAGUUACUGACGCUCAGGCACGAAAGCGUGGGGAGCAAAAGGG
rnacentral:rRNA from 1 species